AGAGUUUGAUCCUGGCUCAGGAUGAACGCUGGCGGCAUGCCUAAUACAUGCAAGUCGAACGAGAGGAAGGAAAGCUUGCUUUUCUGAAUCUAGUGGCGAACGGGUGAGUAACACGUAGGUAACCUGCCCAUGUGCCCGGGAUAACUUCUGGAAACGGAUGCUAAAACCGGAUAGGUAGCAGACAAGCAUUUGACUGCUAUUAAAGUGGCUAAGGCCAUGAACAUGGAUGGACCUGCGGUGCAUUAGCUAGUUGGUGAGGUAACGGCCCACCAAGGCGACGAUGCAUAGCCGGCCUGAGAGGGCGGACGGCCACAUUGGGACUGAGACACGGCCCAAACUCCUACGGGAGGCAGCAGUAGGGAAUUUUCGUCAAUGGGGGGAACCCUGAACGAGCAAUGCCGCGUGAGUGAAGAAGGUCUUCGGAUCGUAAAGCUCUGUUGUAAGAGAAAAACGACAUUCAUAGGGAAUGAUGAGUGAGUGAUGGUAUCUUACCAGAAAGUCACGGCUAACUACGUGCCAGCAGCCGCGGUAAUACGUAGGUGGCGAGCGUUAUCCGGAAUGAUUGGGCGUAAAGGGUGCGUAGGUGGCAGAACAAGUCUGGAGUAAAAGGUAUGGGCUCAACCCGUACUGGCUCUGGAAACUGUUCAGCUAGAGAACAGAAGAGGACGGCGGAACUCCAUGUGUAGCGGUAAAAUGCGUAGAUAUAUGGAAGAACACCGGUGGCGACGGCGGCCGUCUGGUCUGUUGCUGACACUGAAGCACGAAAGCGUGGGGAGCAAAUAGGAUUAGAUACCCUAGUAGUCCACGCCGUAAACGAUGAGAACUAGGUGUUGGGGGAAUAACUCAAUGCCGCAGUUAACGCAAU
rnacentral:rRNA from 1 species